rnacentral:lncRNA from 1 species
GUGGAAUGAAACAUAGUGGAGUAUGAUCUACACAGGGAGCUUGUGACCGGAGUAUAUAUGGGGGAAAUUUUGGCCCUGGGAAGGUGAGGAACCAGCAUGUAGCACUGUCCAAGGCUGACAGCCCAUCUGAAGAGGAUCCUGAGGUACGUGUGACUGCAGUGGGCGCAUGAACAAAGAAAAGGGAAGAAGAUAUGAGGCUGGCAUAUCUCUAUAUAGCCCAGCCACCUGAUUUAGUUUCUUUUGAGCCACCACAGCUAUUGAUUCUUGUCUGAAGACCAUCACCCUGCUCUAAAAUUGUCCUGGACUGUUUUGGAAACAAUCUGGUUGCUCUCCUAGAUUUCAGAAGGAAGAUUGCUGCCCAUGCCUCUGUAUUUAGGGGGAAAGCCAGGGGUGGAGGGUAGUGCUUCCACAGAUCACUGAACUCUGUAACAACCCUCACUGACUGCAAUCUCUCAGCUCCUCCUGCAAACAGGCAAGCUCUUGCAUUUAGGAUGAUUUCCUCCUGGGAGGACUUGGGCCCCCAGGGCUUUCUGUGACUUCUACCGGCUUCUUCAAGCAGCUCUCAAUAGAGACUGUCUGGAUCAGGCAAACACAGGGUAUCCUGCAUGACCGAGGACACUGGACUUGUGACUGUCCUGCCAGUACCACCCUGUGUUCCCACAGGGCAGAGCAUUGUCCCCAGGAGUGGUGAAGUAGCAGAAGGUGGAUGCAACUAUGCCAAGGGGAUUUGCUAGAGACCAUAUAUGGAAUCUGUAACAGAACCAGGACAUCCUACAUCCUGCCACAGAAUGAUGCUGAAAGAGGCCCUAAGGCUGUUUCUGUUGUCCUCCAGUUUGCAUCAGUGGAUGUGAAGAUUGUGCUAAACUCAUCUGAAGAGCCUCCUAAAACCAGGCAGAUGGUUUGAUUUGCAGUGGGAAAGAAAAAAGUGGAGAAAAAGUAAGUGUUUGAAACCUAUUCCCACCCCUCACCCCCAGUAAAACUCCUUAGGGUAAUAU